CGACAUCCCUUUCCUUUCCCGAGCGGGGUAAUAGGAUCACAAUCCGCAUGGACAUACAUACAUACUUAGAGGCAGGCGGCUGGCAGAGGUUAAGGCCUGACUUCUGCUCCCAGUCGACCCAGACGACCCGGGUUCAAAUCCGCCUGCCGGCUCCUCGGGUGUUUGAGGAGUGAUGAAAUGGGAGGUGGGACCCCAUCAUAUGGACGGUGUAGGACGUGAUAAUAUCAACUUGCGAGCUGACCAGGAACUAAGUUGAUGCGCCGUUGAUCCGCUAGAUUUGGUUGGAUGCUGGUGGUGAGUUGCCGAACCCAACGAAUACAUUCUGAAGUCGGAUGGGGUGACGGAUUAGGGUGCCCCUCUAGCAGGGGAGAGCAGGGACUGCCCCGGGAAAGGGGGCCGCUGGCGAAGUUAACCACCCUGUAACUACAUACAUACAUACUCUAUAUCUUUGACUCACCCUUUCACUCCAUCAGUUCCACACAGGACCACAUACACGCACACAAGCUUAUUCCACAAAAGUAUGCGAGAUCGCGGCGCUACCACCCGGCGAGCUACCACCCACCAGCUGUUUUCUCCGCCGGACCGCCCGCCUCCAUGUAGACGUCCCACAGCGACACCUUGCCGGACUUGUCUGCGGCCGCCAGCGUCAGCCGAUCGCUACCUGGCAACCAGGCCAGAUGUGUGACACCAUCCUUGGUCACCUACGUACACAAGGUGUAUGUAUGUAUGUGUGUAUACAUAUCCACAUAUAUAUUCCAAAAGUACAAUCACAGUCACAAUCACAGCAAAACACACAUACACAGUGCAACGUCGUGCAUUCUCUCACUCGCCUGGGGGGUGCCUCUGGGGCAAGCCCUUGCCGCCAGCGGCAGCGGCAGCAGCCGCACCUUCCGCCUCCGCCGCCAGCGGGGCCCCCGGCAGCAGCACACCCGUCGACCUCUCGUGUUCGAUUCCUGCCGCCAGCUCGGCCGCCACGCCGCGUUGCCGUAGCGACAUCCGCAGCUGCUGCGGCUCCUGCAACCUCUCUCGACUCCUGUGUGAGAGGUGGGUGUGGUGUGGGACGUGGGUGAAGCGGUUGAAGCAAGGCAAGGCAAGGCCGCGAGUGUAGAUAGUUCGUUGGGUUGGUUAGGUGGUUUGGGUCGAUUUGGGUUUAUAUAGCUUGGUGGAGGUAGGUAUGUAGGUAGGUGAGUCCUGAGGUGAUGUGAGGGGAAAGACGACCCACAGACGAUAUUGAAAAGCCCGGCCUUCCCCGCUUGCAUCUCGCUAUCUGGCUGCAUGAGCCUGGGGCUGCAACAUGAAGGGACAUCUUGGUCCUGCCGCUGUUGCUCCUCCAUGACAAACAUAAUUCAUAUUAUGUCAUGCCGUUUCCGUUCCAUUGCGGUGUUGCCUCCUUAACUUUGAUGGCUGCCGUCGGGGUCAGAUGGCACACACUCAAUUUCGCAAAGUACGCAUCUCACUCGCGGAAUAUUUAGUACAAGCUUCCAUAUUGAACAAUUAGCGACGGUUGGCGUUGACAUCCUCAUGGUGGUCUCACCCCUUUCCAUAACAGUGUGAAUCAACGUAUUGCAUGCCCACUCUAUGAGGGCAGCUUAGAAUCAUGGCAUCAAGGAGGGCCGUGGCACAGGCCAUUCGCACAGAGGCCACCGGAGACGAGCUAAUGGAGUUGCUUGUUUUCGCGGCGCUCAUGCCCGAGACCCAGCUGACUGUCCUUCAGGAAGCUGAUACCAACAAGUUCAUUGUGCAAUUUGUGCGCCAGCUAAAGGCCGCAGGUGCGUUGCCCGAGGGCCCAGGUUCUUUCCUUUUCUGGAGGUGGUAAGCCUAGCGCCAGUCUAAACACAACACCUCCUGCUUAUUAAAGAGACUUAUCAUUAUUGUGAGGACACCCUUAACUUAGUCCGUAUGUAGGAAACAGGGGUUGUCAGACGUUUUGAUCCACAGCGGCUUGCCGAAGAGCGUUAUUGUAGUCCAUCCACCAUGUCUCUAUCCCUGCAAGAUAGACCUUCAAGGCCCCUAACCAAUCUGUAUGGUCAUCUGGACACCCCCUCACGGUUAGCAAGCUGUUUGUUCCUUUACUGGGCUUGAGUCUAACCCCUACUGUUGAGUUUCUAUUGACCUGUGUAUUGCAACCUUGUUUUUCUUGAGUCUAAGCCGUCUGGUUUUUUGGUAGCUGAUUGCCCUUCCGACUUUGUGCAUACUGAUCCCGCGAGAAUGCCACGAGCUUCUUCGCUACACUGCAUACCAUGCACGGUCUUCUGAACCGUUGGUCAGCUGUGUGUUCCUUUGCCAAAAGAGCACACCCCUGCUAUGUCGUGACAAAUGACCUAACUGUGUAAUGCACCCUCUUUUUCCCUGUUUGAUGUACAGGUGCGGCAACUGCUGCCCCGCCACCGGGUCCCAGCUCUGGUGAGUUCGCCUCAUUUUUAAGUUAACUUCUUGGAGCUGCUAUGUGUUAUAUCUUACUAAACCACAACUGGAUGGUGGCGUCGGAAGACACCGAUUGGAAGAGUUUCGCCCGGUUAAAUAGCGGAGGAUGCGGCCAUCCCAUGAAUCGUACAGCCAGUUCCGAAAAGGCACGGUCCAGUCCGGAAUGGCGUACCGUUGAUCCAUGCUUCCAAUCGAUGACGGGGCUCCAGUCGUAGCCUGUGCUACGACCCCGCCCAUACUUCUGCAAGUAUGGACUUCCGCCUGAGGCGGCGUUUACUUGUAGGCAUCCAUGACAGCGUCCCGCUCGCCGUCUGACCAGAGGUCGGAGCCAUAAAGAUCUGACAGAAAAAGCGGCAAAAUAGGCAGUUGGAAUUCAGUUAGUUCCAGCGAAUUUGUCCAGUAACCGCGCCAAGCGAGAAAGGAAAAAUUAGACAGAAAAAUGUAUCAGUUUGGGACCAGAUUUAAGAAGCGGAAUACAACAACUAUCCCCCCUCUAGAUGCAGCGUCCUCGAUGCAUGGCAAGAAACUGGCAGAGCAGAAAUCGGGCCAAAAACGUGCGGGAGUUAAAACACUUACCUUUAACCCGCAAAUCUUACCUUGCCCGUGCUCGUUGCCGUGCUUCUUCCAGCAGAGGUUUUAGGUCAGGGGUAAAGUUAGCUUCUGGUUCCCAACUGUUGUGCUCAGCCGAGUACCCAGCCCAUUUGACAAGAUACUCGUGCACAGUGCGCUUACGGCGGCGGUUUCUGCCUACUUUUCGGGAAUGGUAAUCCAGUAUCCGUUCAACCGCGUAAAAUGUCUGCUUGCCUGCAAGCCAAGUAACUGGUCCUGGCUCCGUGACAGUAGGAGCAGGUUUUGGCUGAAGCGCAGCAGCAGAGUCAGUAGUACGGAAAGGUCGGACUAGAGAGACAUGGAAUGUGGGGUGGAUGCGCAUGUCAGGUGGUAGUUGCAGCUCGACUGCAGUAGACCCAACCAUGCGAACGACAGGAAAUGGUCCCACCCAACGAGGUAAAAGCUUACGAGAACCAUCCGCUAAGGACCUCAGUGCUCAGCAUCACCAACUGCCCCUGCGAGAAGGUGAUGGCACGUCGGGAUUUGUUAAAGUAGCCCACCGUACGUUGCUGUGCAGCUUCAGGCAAGAUUUAGCAUCAGUCAGUCGGGACACAAAGGACUUGGCAAACGUCUUUGCUGCAGGCAAGUUGACAUCCAACUCCUGCCAAACAGGCAAGGCAGGGUUGUAUCCGUAAUUCAGGAAAAACGGACUUUUGCCAGUCGCGCGAUUCACAGCAUUAUUAAUCGUGAAUUCAGCAGCAGUUAGAUAUGUGUCCCAGACAGAAGGCGUACAUCCGGCAUAAUUGCGCAACAUAUCACCAAGAGUGUAAUUCGUACGUUCUGUCUGUCCAUCAGUCUGUGGGUGAUAGGCGGUGCUCAGGUUAACACGCAUGCCUAACAGAUCACCCAGGGUGCCCCUAAAUCUGCUGGCAAAUUGCGAUCCGCAGUCGGUCACAACAUUCUUGGGGACACCAUGCAAACGCACUAUGUUGACAACAUAGUGCCAAAGAACAGACGUGCAGUUUGCUCAGCUGUGCAGGAUGAUACCGUAGGUGCCAGGUGCACCAUUUUCGUGAGUCGGUCUACCAUGACCAAAACGGCAUCGAAUCCUCCCUCAGUUUUGGGCAAAGCUACAAUAAAGUCCAUGGUAACACUUUCCCAAGGGGCGGCCGGCACAGGCAAGGGACACAGGAGGCCGUGGGGCUUACCAGACAGGACUUUAUUGCGUUGACACAGCUCACAGUUUUGGACAUAGUUCUCGGCGUCCUUAGCCAUCCGAGGCCACCAGAAUUGACGAGAACCUCGACCAGAUGGGUGCAGCCAGGGUGCCCAGCCAGCGGGUCGUCAUGAAAACGUGACAGGAGAUCAUGAUGCAGCAAGUCAUCAUUCGGAACGACAACCUGCCGAAAAGUACCCUCAGUGCGGAUCCAAAGGCCACUGUUACGGGUUAAAUGGCCAGUAUUGUGGUUAUCGGAAAACCAGGGAUCCGUGGCAUAGGCAGCUCGGAGUCGUUGCACAAGUUCAGAGGGCACAACGGGUGCUGCAGCACGGUUGCUGUAACGACUGACAGAACUACUGCAUGCAGACAAGGGUGCCGACUUAAGGCAUCAGCAAUGUGAAGGAUGCCUUGCAGGUAUUCCCAUGUGAAGUCAAACCGGCUAAGGUAUUCCAUCCACCGGGCUUGACGACGAUUAAGGGUAGGCACGCCUUGCAGAAACAUUAGGGGUUUGUGGUUGGUUUUAAGGGUGAACAGCCGACCCUCCAGAUAACACCGCCACUCCUUAAGCGCGUGCAGUACAGCAAGAAGUUCUUGUUUCCCAGUGGUAUAACGGGUUUCAGCCCCCGAGAACUUCUUACUAGUAGAAGCAAUUGGUCUCCCGUUUUGCAGCAGUACUGCUCCCGUACCAUGUAAAGAUGCAUCAGUUACGACCUCCACACGGAAAGGUUGGGAGUAGUCCAGGAAACGCAGAAUGAUGUCUUCAGAGACAACACGCUUAAGUGUAUCGAAUGCUUGCUGGCAGUCAGGACCCCAGCAGUCAGGAGAUACAAAAGCCCCUUUUCGUGCCAGAUUUGUCAGAGGUGCAGCAAUAAUGGCAUAGCGUUCGAUGAACUUACAGAAGUAGUUCGUCAGCCCCAAGAACUUCCUUAGUUCUUGCAAAUUGGUCGGGGUAGGCCAGUUCCGCACCGCAGCAGUCUUUCGGGGGUCCAUGCGGAUGCCAUCCUUGGAGACGAUGUGACCAAGGUAUUCGACCUGAGGCUGGGCCCAGUGGCACUUAGAACGCUUGGCAAACAGUUGCUCACGCUGCAAAAUUUCAAAGACCAGCCGUAAAUGCUCCAGGUGCUCUUCACGUGUCUUUGAAUAGACCAGGAUAUCGUCUAGGUAGCAAACGACAAAACAGUCUAUGUAGGGCCGAAAGGUUCGGUCCAUCAGGGCUUGGAACGUGGCAGGAGCGUUCGUCAAGCCGAAGCUCAGCACAGUAUACUCAUAAUGACCAGAGGGCAUAGGAAAUGCAGUUUUCGGAAUAUCUGAUUCAGCAAUACUGAUUUGAUUGUAACCCUGCUGUAGGUCAAUAGAGCUAAAGAAAGCCGAGCCAUGCAGUCUAUCCAGUAGAUCAUCAACCUGUGGGAUAGGAUAGCGAUUUUUAAUGGUGGUCGCAUUUAGACCCCUAUAGUCUAUGCACAUACGCAGAGUCCCGUCCUUUUUACCCACAAAUAAAAUGGGAGCAGAGUACGGGGAUGUGCUGGGUCGAAUUAUACCUUUCCUCAGUAGGUCGGCUACCUGUCGUGUCACCUCAUCCAGCUCCAGGGGGCUGAGGCGAUACAUGGGGCGUGAAACAGGCUGCGCACCAGGAGCCAAAGGUAUGGUAUGAUCUACCGGUCUCAUGGGGGGAAGUCCAGGGACCUCACGGAAGAUAUCUGAGUAUUCGUUAAGGGCUUCAACCGCAGGGUCAUUUUCAGUGAUCUGGGUGACGGCUGUAUUCAGUUGCAAUUUAGGCCGUACUAGCAAUCCAUGCACCCCCUUGCGAAUCAUACAGAUAGCUGCUUUGUGCCCAACGGGUUCAGGCUCAAUUCGCUUACAGAUAGCGGCAGCAGCAAAAUUCACACAGGGUUCGGAGUGCGCAGCACUAGUAUUCCCUUCUCCCAUCCGUUCCGCAGUGGUGAAAGGCGCCUUAUAACACAAGGUUCCCUUCCGCAACUGCAAGGUGUGGGCCUCAUAAUUCAGAUGAGCCCCAUACUGAUCAAGGGUAGCGGACCCUAAGAUAAACGUGGCUGCAUCAGUAAACUUAGGCAGCACAUAUGGACGGACAUUUAGGUGCAAAGGGCCCAAGGAUAUACGAAGGGAAACUUGACCCAAAAUGACCUGCUUACCCCCGUCAGCAAGGGUGACAGAUGACCACGAUGCGGUUGAGGUUUCAGUCCGAGUUGCUCAAUGAUGGACGCAGAAAUGAAGUCGUCGCUGGCACCAGAGUCGGCCAUGGCAGUUAAAGAAUGUCCAGCGACACGAAUGCCAAUUAACGGGACUCUGGGCCCUGUUGACGCAGCAACUUUUGCACACAGGACUGAAACAUGGGGCUCCGUGUCAAGGUGCCCCAGGACAAGAGGGGGAUCGUACCAAACGUCAGCAGUAUAUGGCAGACCUGGAAGGGAAACAAGUUGACCCGUCAUGUCUACACCGUUGAAAAGCUUGCUACCAGCACGAAACUGAAGAACCCGACGCAUCCCUAUCAGCAAGGAGGCAGCCCUCGGGGAUACAUGUGCUGGUAACAGGAGACAGGCAGCAGUGUCCGGUCGUUGACGUUUGCAAAUACGAUAGUAAGCCAGCUGAGACUGAAGUUCCUUGAAAGAGGAAGGGGAAAUCCAAACGGUAUGCCCACCCAAGUUACUAGAGGUUAGACGCCGUGGAAUAGCAAACAGAUUACAGUGCUCGUCAAAACCAGGACGAGCAGUACGAGCGUCAAACGAAAAACGCCGUCCAACGGCCUUCUCAACUUGGUUGAAUAUGGCCGGUAAAACAGCACGGACGUGCUGUCCAACCGGGCAGAUAACGGGUACCGUUUGGUUUUGUAACCCAGGGAGUGCUUCCCUAAUACUGUCCUGGGCAACCCCCUAUUUUUCCACGUUCCUAGCUCUCUUCUCUGAAAGCAACGGGCACUCCGCUACUAGGUGCUUGUCCUCCCCACAGCGGAGGCAACGGCUAUUUUCCGGCGGUACUCGUACUCCGCCCGAGUGCAGUAAAACUUAUUCAUCCAUUCGGCCGGAUUCGAAUCCCGGCCACGCUUGCCUAGCACCAUCGUCCCUGUUCCCGCGGCAGCGGCCCUGGGCCGACCCUUGUCCCUAUGCUUGCCACCCCGACCCCUGCGCCCACGGUUCGACUCACCAGCACCGGAGGCCUGGCGAGCUGUAUUCCGCCCAGCGGCAACAGUAGCAGCCCGAGGCCUGACCUCCGGUGCCGGGAGGUCCCUGUCAUCAGUGAUGAUGGGCGCGGGAUCCUGCACAACGGUGGAAGCAUGCAGAAGCACGCGGGUUUGGGCUUGAGAACGAAGUUUAGCAAGUUGACGGGCCUCAACACCAAGUGUGUGCUGCACAAGUCUUGCAUAUUCCUGAAAAGGCUUACCAUCACGGUCGGUCGCACAUUCUCCUGAAAACUCAGCGGAAAAGCCGCAGAUAAACCAGAAAAUCCGAUCAACCUCCCUUAAGUCAGGAAUGGGUGCUAUGAGUGCCUACCGUUUCGUUUGCCCGCAUCUGAUGCUGCCCAGCAGCAAGCUUUUCUAGCGCUUCUAGUUAGCGUGUUAGAAUCUGCGGGGCAAAACGAAUUAAUAGCGCCUCCAAAAGUUGCUCUGAAGUAUAUUGCAACCGUGCGUUAGUCCAGUCAUCAUGCCAGGUUUUCGCGGCGCCUUCAAGAGUGUUAGCUAAAAAUAAGCAACAGAUACUGUCAUGAUUUCCGCCCUGCACGUAAUCAAAAUACUUCCGGACAUUGCGGCGCGGACUCGUGGUGCAACUUCCCGCGAUAAUUCACUAAGCUUAAUAUCUGCAGGAAUACUGAGCCUAGGUACCGGAAUAUUAAUUCUGAUCACCUCAUCACUAGCCCCAGUGGGCAAGCCGUGCUCAGUAGCGACAUUAUUCCUUCCAUCGCCGGCGGUCGUCCCGGUGGUGCGACCCGUGAUGUGUUCCACUGCAGGAAUCGGAACAUCGGAUGAGGGAUUAUUCAUAUUUAUCAAUAGGUUACUGUUAUUCAGGGCAAUAGGCGGCGGCGGGACAGUUCCAUUGGUCAUAUCGAUAGCGGAGGGCAAUCCCCAACGACUUCGCCUACACUGCUCCAUUUCCAACUAUCCUGACCCAGAUCAGGCAGACCGCGUACCCAAGUAAAGAGAACUGUCAAUUUUUCUGGAAGUCUGUUCUAGCACCAAACGGGUGCUGCGAAGCUCUUGACAGAGCCUCCGGCAAAGGGCAGGGACCGCCGAAGGAACUGGCGGUUCGGAGCCUGCAGCAGUCUUACCGCUAUUAACCCAAAAUCCUAGAGAAAGUCAGCAAACAGAUUUGUACUUUACAGACCGGCGGCAGCGACUUCGCGGACAGCAUCGCCAAGAGUGUCGACGAUUGUAGCCAAAGGUCCGGUGACAUCGUCGACCUCCAUCCGUGCGCCGGUAGAAGUGGGGAUCUUGAUGGCGAAAGGGGGAUCUUGAAAAUUUCAGAAAUGCGAGAGGCCCCGGGAGGAACCGUCUCGAUACCAGACUUGUUAUAUCUUACUAAACCACAACUGGAUGGUGGUGUCGGAAGACACCGAUUGGAAGAGUUUCACCCUGUUGUAGCGCCUUAUAGCGUUACAGAACUUAAUCACUGCGUGAUUAAGGCAUGGCUUGAUAAGACUGAGCUACGAACAGUCUACGAAUAUCUUAGAGUUCAGACGUGCGUCCUUACCAAGGAAUGACACGCACUUGAGAUACCUACAGACUCAUCGGUUCGAGCAACCAAUGUAGAUCUGAAGAGACGUCGUACAAUAGAAGUUGUUACGGCCUCCUAAGCAACGAGUAUUUAUACUCGGGAGGAAGCCUGGGAUUAGACAUCCAUCCAUCCAUCCAUCAACAAUCUAACAAUACACCAGUGAGAGAGAUACCAGAAGCCUACGCUUCUGAUGCUCCUUACUGAGGAACGAACCCAGUCCUUGACGGAGCGAAUCCGUCCUGUAACCUGUCGGCUCUCGCCGCUAUAUCACGCGCUAACACGCCCGCUUAAAUAGCGGAGGAUGCGGCCAUCCCAUGAAUUGUACAGCCAGUUCCGAAAAGGCGCGGUCCAGUCCGGAAUGGCGUACCGUUGAUCCAUGCUUCCAAUCGAUGACGGGGCUCCGCAAGCCAGGGACCAGCAUCCCAGUUGUAGCCUGUGCUACGACCCCCGCCCAUACUUCUGCAAGUAUGGACUUCCGCCUGAGGCGGCGUUUAAAUGUAGGCAUCCAUGACAGCGUCCCGCUCGCCGUCUGACCCAGAGGUCGGAGCCAUAAAGAUCUGACAGAAAAAGCGGCAAAAUAGGCAGUUGGAAUUCAGUUAGUUCCAGCGAAUUUGUCCAGUAACCGCGCCAAGCGAGAAAGGAAAAAUUAGACAGAAAAAUGUAUCAGUUUGGGACCAGAUUUAAGAAGCGGAAUACAACACUAAGCUUACUAUCCCCAUUUCCUUACAGUAGAUAGUGAAGCGCUAACAGAUUUGGCAGUGUUGUGGCUCUGGCCUGCCUAUCUACCUGCAUGCAAAGAAGGCUCAGAGCGCCCAUCUAGCUAUGUAUCCUGCCUCUUGUUCGCCCCUUUGGUUGCAUGACAUUUAAGGGGGCUGAUUCCUUGGUAAUCACAACCUAGGGAAAACCCGGGGAAUUAGUUCCUACACAUACAUAUGCGGCCUCUCUCUGGGUGAUGCUAUAUAUGAUUACUCUGGAUCUGUGUGUGUGUGUGUGUGUUACAUGGUUGGGGGGUGCGUGACCCCAUACCUGUAAAACUACCCAUACGAGCCGAAGGCCCAAGGGCAUUACCUGAACGCCUAAAAGCUGUGGAGAAAAGGAAACACCGCACUAUCAGCCCAGACUAGCACCCAAACGGGAUAACUGAGUUGCGAUGAGUCAACAUACUCUGGAUCUGGAUAGGAGAGGGUGGUAAUGUGUUACCAGGGGGAUAAACCCAGGCAGCUGUACCUGCAUGAGGUGGCUGGGUAAUAUAUUAAAUAUCGGAUCUAACAUGCAUUGGCUUGCGUUCCCUGAUCCUCCCCCAUCUGCAGGUGUGGUGGAAUUUGGAGCCAGCGGUGAGUGCAAUAUAUGAGGCCCGUGAUGCUGUGUGUUGCCUUUAAGCAGGGAUUGAGUGCUAAUGCCGUGUUGUGCUCUAUCUGCAGCUAAAUAUGAAACUGACACAAGUUACCGCUACAUCCGCGAGAUGCUGCCAUCACUGCCAUCACGGCUAUCACUGGGCUCUGUGCAGGCUGCAACAGACCUCAAAAGCUUCCUGGAAGGGCCCUUGGCUCGGAAGCUGCCAGUGCACAAAAGGCUUGGCAUCAUCCAGCAGAAUGCCGACAUCAUGGACUACAUCAACCUGGACGAAGAUGCCGUUAAAACUGCACAUGCUCUGUCGACCAUUGUCGAAUUGGCACUCAUCGGGGGAUCUGCAGGCGGCACAUCAGAGUAUAAAACUGCCUUCCAGGUUGCGCUUGUCGUGGAUAUGCCGCUUGAGCUCGCCGCAUGUGCCCUCAACCUGAACGUGUCUCAGGACCGCAACGUGAUGGACACAUCUGGUGCCACAGGUAGGUUGGUGGACUGCUAUGAAGAGGGAUGCAACGAAAUCUUUCUCGACUACUUCCCCUUUUCCCCUUUGAUGUCCUGAUGUCCCCAUUAACCACCCCACAUAUUUUCGGGUCAAUAGUGCAUAGCUUUGGCGCCAUAGUCGCCCACAAUGAGAGUUCUGGUUGCUGCACUGAUCUGUUUCACGGCCCCGCACUCCUGGUGGUGUCUGUGUGCCUCAUCGCCCCCUGAGACCACAGUUCGACAGAAACGGCCCGACUAUGUCUGCUGGCUGAAUAACGCCCUACUAUUUAAGGGCGAGGAUAAGGCAUCGGCAUCAGGCAUGCCGGUAGGACUUAACCUGGGUGGGCAUAUGCAAGCAAAGUUAGCAUAACCCUGUAGCGCCCCUGAGCCCCUUGACCCCUGCUCCUUUCCUUUCUGCCACAUGUUCAAAGGUGGCCAUUGAAGAGCUAUCGGACAAGAUGGCACGCACGUGGUACGUGGUGGUGCAAGCACAACAGCAAGUAUGAGAGCCGUGGGGCUGGUCUGAUGCUUGUCAUGUUCACCCCACCAGGAAGCCAGAGCUGCUGCCUGGCGUCAGCAUGCCAUGCAUGAUAGCCUACGCGGCCGCUGGUACCAUGCUCCAGUUCUUUUCCAUCCGGAACAGGUAUGGAUAAAGUAUGAGGGCUCUAAGCGACGUCGGACAGGGUCAUCCUACAAUAGAUAGCACUGAGAAAUUGACGAAACAUAUGUUUAUUGUAUAGGUUGGUCUACAGAACGUGCCAUGGUACAACAGAUCUGCCUGGCAAUAGAUGGUCUGUAGUCACUCCUCAAUAUAUAGAUGCACCUACACUCAUGUCCAUAGGGAAACUUCUGCCCCCUGUGCCUGACAGUGUUCUUUUUUUCUUCCAGUGGUAAAGUUGAAGUUAGCCCAAUCAGCAGUCUCUACGAUCUGAGCACGCCCUUGGGGCGCAUCCGAGCCUUGCACUGCACAUUCAACAUCGUGCGCCUGCUGGCGUCGUACGCGCCACACUCACCUAAGAUUCCGGUCGCCCUCGGAAGCAAGCUUCAAUCCAAGGGUCCUCGUGGAGAGCUCCUCCGUACUGUCAGAUUCUUUGAAGGUGCUGCAGGGUUGCAGUCAUGUAGACACUGGCAGCAUAAUUCGGCCUAAUGAAACACGCUGUAUGUACCUGUCUUGCAGAUUUUGUACAGAAGCGUGUCUAUGAUUUCGAGGAGCGGCAUUCUGGUGUUAACGAUUUCAGCCUUCUCAAGGUACACAUCACCUGCCGGGCCCUGCACAGUCAGCAUGGUGUUCUACAUAGCAUGCUGACGUGCAAACCUCUGGUUACAUGACCCAUUCACAGGAGCUGUACACCAAUGCCGCACUGGUGCAGUGCCCAAAUCUUGUACGGCUCCACUCAUCCAAUGACAUGGACGCCAUCCACCUAGACGGCCAGACGCUGGUGCUGCACUUGGUGCCCCACGGCGUGCCGCAGUAUGGGCCGCCCGGGGACGAGGCCAGCCUUAAGCAGGCGAUUCGGGACGUGCUCACUGGCAUUGAGUCGCUCCAUGCAGCAGGUGUGUGUGUAUCCACUGAUGGCGAGGCAGGUAUUGCUGCUAUUGAUAAACCUGCUAUUGGUAUUGCUGCUACUGGUAUUGCUGCUCAAGGUUACCACUACUCGCUGGCCUUAUGAUUUUCCUCGUGCAGGCUUCGUGCACCGGGACAUUCACUGGGGCAAUGUGAUCAUGGUGCCAGGCUCAGCACCCAACAUGGCGGAUAGGUUCAUCCUGAUGGACUUGGAGCACGCCGGUGGGUGGCUUUUCAAUUACAGCCCAGUGGUUUUUUCGUUAGGGCCUGAAGGUCCCUUUUUAUUACUUAUCAUCAAGUAUUAGAUUUCCAGGGUUUUGUGCGGUUUACUACUUAGCUGUGAGGCGCUGGGGGGGCCUCCGGGGGCCCCAGACUCCCCCACAAGUUACAACUAGUCCGCUCACAAACUCACCAUCGCCGGUGUGUGACCGACAUUAGCACCAGUGUCCCAACAGUGUUAACAACAGUGUCACUAAGAGUAUUUCUUAGUAAUUUUGCUGCUUUGCUGUUUUUCCUUGGCCUGUGCAUAUUUUGCUGUGUUUGAACAGUCAUAUACGCUGCUAUGCCGCGUUGACUCAUGGGCGUGACCUUCCAACGACCAUCCAUGGCCCCUCAUUGCAUUCUAUAAAUUCAGAUACUAUGUUUCCGAACUUAAGAGCUGUCCGUCAUUUUUGGAUGAAGUAAUGAAAAUGUACGAGUCGGCCUCGACUUAAUUGGAAUGUAUUACUACUGUUAGUGUUACAGCCUCCAGGCACAGGGUCGUCUCCUGUCUAGGUAGGUAGCAGACCUUACCGCAGUAUCGUCGUUUUGUCCACUGCUCCUGCCUUUCGUCAUGAUGAGGGGUAAAAUAAUGCCCACGUCCCGUCGCUGUGCCAACAGGGCGGGCUGACAGCUCUCAGGACUGCCGCCAGUCACCCUUCCCCCUGGCGACGUGGCCGGAGUUCAACCCCAUCCUGGAUUCGGUGGAUGGCCGCUACACUCGCGCGUCGGACCUCUGCCUCGUGUCGCACUGCCUUCUGGCCUACCUGCCCUUCGAGCUCAGCGCCAGCGGUGUGGCCUUCAAGCGCGCACUGUCUAACCGGGAGCUGGAUGCUAGGGGCGCACUGGCGCACGAGUGGCUUGCGGGGGUAUGACUGUAAGACGUGUUGGCCAUGGAGCAGCCCACGGAUAGCAAGGUAAGCAGGUGGGCUCGUGCAAUGUCACCACCUAUGUAUGUCUGUCCUCAUAGCUGCAGGCCCCACAGUCCCCAUUCAUGGUACACGUGUGAUGAGGCAUGUACGGGAUCAGCACACGAUUGUGCUCCUACUUGUCGACUGUCUUCCCACUCGUCUCAAGUUGACUUCUUCCUCUCACUCCCUGCUACAGCGGCAACGAGGCACGGGAUGUGGAAGCUGCUUUUGGUUUGGUACAACCAUGCACGCGGACACCGGGAAAUGCUGGGAGGUGGCUGCUAAUGUCGUACCAUCCAAAUUGCUUUAGUGGGUAUUGCGUUUGGGCCGACUCGCAAUGGUCAGGGCAGGCCGGGAUGGGUUGGGGGGUCGGUGAUGGAGACCCAAGCACGUGGAGCAAAGUGCCAGGGAGAUGCUGAAGACGUCGGCGCAGGCGGGGGAGACAACGAAAGGCCUUGCGGGUGAUGGGUGUUAUCGAAGACGUUGGCGAGUAAGGCAGAGUGGCAGCAGAGCGGCUGCAUCCGCGGCUGUUGGUGCUAGCCGCGGCUGAAUGCAGGGGCCCUGCAGCUAUUAGCGCGGCUAGGGCCUGGUCUCACCUGGCGGGUUAUGCGACUAGAGGUUGAGCUGAGCACCGAGAUGGAAAGGGCGAGGCAUGGGGUUUGGGUGGCGCACACGGAAAGGUGCACACGGGAGCAACCUUAGUUGAUUGAGUUAUGGGAGGGUGGAUUCAUUUGGGCCGAGAUUAGCAGGGUGCCAUGUGGCAGGAUAGCAAUAAUUCAUCUGGUAAGAAGAAGGCAAGUAGUAGGAUUCCUUGUUGUAGCUGUAGGUUUGCUGGAGAGUUGAUAUUGCAGCUGGACGUGUGGACGCCGUACACUUGACUGCAUCUCUGCACGACGUCCUCUGGCGCUGCCGUAGUCCCUGUGCCCUCAUGACCGCAUGCAAGGAAGAGGAGAGAUAUAGCUGCGUAAAGAGCGAAGUGGAGAGCGCUGUAGGGAACGAAGUGGCUUUUUUGUACCGCCGCAAGGAGACACAUGUUGUUGAUCGCGAGGACGGCUGGCACCUGCCUGACAUGGGGGUGGUGGUGGGAAACCUGCUCAGCCAUGUCCGACCUGUACGACGUUCAAUGAAAAAUGUGGUAUUAAUACAUGGCAGUGCAGGCGACGAGGAGGGUGGCCGGUGAUCGGCCGGCGUUGUGAAUGUUCAAGUCCAAAGGUAGGUGGGUGGGUGUGUUUUGUGUGCUGAAGAUUGCUGGAGAGCGAUUUUCUUCAUCCCCCCAUCCCUUCUGGGGCGUAUUUCCGCGUGUAUACGGCCCUCCCUGUACAUGAUUUAAAGACGGGGUUAGGCGGUUCGUCGCCGCCCUCCCCACACACACACGCGAGGGGGGAGAAAUGAACUUUUUGCAGACGGCUGGGCGGAGGGCUCGGCUCAGUGCGUGUUGGGUUCCGCCAUUUGCGUGCGGAGAGGGCGGGGUUGCAGCACAGCUGAUGUCGUACAACAAGAUGACGAGGUGGCGUCGCUCCUCUUCGUUGGGUGCUGCGAUGGCGAUGGUGUUCCGCGAUGUGGUGUCGGUAACUGCAGCGCUAGUGGACGGCAGCCGUCGUGUGCUCGACAUUGAAGUUGCACUUGAUGUGCAGGAAGGGGAGGAGGUGGCGGCGGCGGCGGAGGGGGCGCGAGUGAUGAUGGUUUCCUUCUGUUGAAUGGUAGCCCCUGUUUGUGGUAAUUUCCUUUAUACGCCUGAUGUUGUGAGCAGCUGGGUUUGAUCUGAGGGUUUGGUCUGAUCUGUCCGGGUGUUGUCGGGGAAGAGAUCUUUUGCCUCCCCUUAUCCGUUCCCCGGAUGGCCUCGCUCGUUCUGACAACAAUAGCGCAGGUGUUCAGUUUUUUGGUGCGUUCGCGUUGUAGUGCAUGAUGGUAAGUACCCUAUGUUAAACCUAAGAACACCAAGGAAAAUGUUUCGUUGGAACAGCAUGGUAACUGUGAGACGAAUUACGAAAAACGUAACAUGAUAUGGCAAUGGCGAAAAAACAGCGCCCGCCUCCUCGUCCUCCUCCUUGAGGCUAUCUCGCACCACGAGCCUCAGCGUGAAACAAAGCAAAGGACCUGUUGACACAAGGGAGCUGACAGACGCUGCCUGCUCUCGCCUGCCACGCAGAGAACCCUCCCCCUCUAUGCUAGAGAACCGUCCCCCUCCCUCUUCACACCUCUUUCCCUCCACCCUUCACCUCAGGUAUAUGGGAUGAUGGCAGGUGGGGGGUUAGGAUAGCCAUAGCUGCGUCGGCGAUGGCAAUGGGCUCCGGGGUGUUGGUUAGUAGCCGCACAGGUCAGCUGGUCGAGUUAGUUGCUGAUGCCGGUAGCAGUUGGCAGUUGGUGCCAGUGUAUGUGUUAAUUAAGAUAAUUCUCCUCCUCGCUGCAUACAAUAUGUACUUACAGGUCAUGGACAUGCACACGCUUUCAUAUACACCUCCCGUCGUACAAUCAGGCCACACACUCCUUCGAAGAAUACGUCAACCACUGGCAGUUACAAGCCGUACGAUUCCAUGAUUUGGUGUCGUGGAGUAUGACAUCGGUGAUUCGAGAGGGGGGAAUGACGGCACCGCCAUCUCCUGUAAUGUGGAGUUUGACAAUCCUAAUGGCCCAACUGGCCCAUCUAGCCCCACUGACAUGCUGCUCCGAAGCCACGGUUCCAAAUCCGCGCGAAAUAUUGAUAAGGACAGCUGCGAGGUAUCCUCUCACGUCUCUUGAUAACUUUAUUUAUUCUGUUGGUCCCGCCAAUCCAACCUGGAAGGACGCGACCUACGUUUUUGCUUUGUAACUUCUUUAGUGGUGGAGUUGAAUCCUUGGCAUUGCUUAGUGUGUUUCAGCAGGCUAAAUAUACCUGCUUGGCGUUUGGAAGGUUUCUUGCUUGAUCAGCAGCUCGGACCGUGGGUCACAGCUGGAGUGCGAGCAAGGAGGUUUGUCAUAGUGAACCAAUAGCUAUGGUAAUAGUGUUUCAUAGCUUACUAUUUCCAUAUACCGAAAGCUCUCUCAAGGAUUUAUUGCUCGCGGAGGACCGUUUGCACUUCCAGCCCUGACGUUCAAGAUCACUUUAGAUCACUUGCCAGAGCCCAGAAGACGCACUGCGGUACAAAGCUACGAUUAUCAUAGAUUAUUUAUAUUGUCUAGUGCACAUAGUACUUCUAGAUAUCUUUUAGGCAAGAUGCUUGUCGCACGGUCCAGCAGCAUUGCGUCUUCUCGGUCGCGGUCCGCUCGGCGACCAACCCGUUCAGCGGUGGUGGUUCGCGCCGAGCUGCCCCGAUGGCCUCUCAUCUUCAAGGCUCUGACGAAUGCGAAGAUCGAAACCGUUUCACCUGAGGAGGCAAAGGCUCGCAUUGACAAUGGUAUGACCUCACAUGGGUGCCCUGGGUUGCUCCGUAAGCUGAAACGAGCGGAUUGACUGUUAUAGAAUGUCUCAUUCUUUAAACUUGCACUUUGGAUCCUUGAAAUACGGUGUUUCGUGGGAGAUCUUUUUAGGGCAAAACUAUCGGUCUUCGCUUUCCUGCGUCCGGCUCCUGCACAUCAUUACAUGUUUUCUUGCUCUCCAUAAAAUGCCCUGCGCGUCUCAUAUGUCGAUUGCGUGCGUUCUUGCAGCAUGCAACACCUUACGUCGCAAUUGCAGUAGAGUCAGACUUAAAAAGCACUUCCUGCUCUCCCGGACCAAUAAUUACGCGUGGUUCAGGUUCCUGGAUCCUGGUUGAUGUUCGGCUAAAGGAGCAAUAUGAGGCGGGCCAUCCAGAGGGUGCUGUCUCUGUGCCAAUCUACGAGGUAGGUCAACAUAGAGCAUGAGCUUCCAGAAAGCCAAGCUCGCGGCCCCGACCAACGCACGUGAAUCACCAUAAUGAACGGAUCGUCAACAACAGCAGCGGCUAUUGGACCGGAACAAGAGGAUUACUCAAAGUUGUGCUACAUUGUUCCGAGGAGCCGGCUGAGCUGAAGCAGCAAUUCAACGCAAUCCUCUUCCCCUAGUUGGGGCCCCAAGCCCUGCGCGCUUGUAACAACCCCCCGGCCCAGUUUAUAUCUGGUACCUGCUUCACUCGUCCGUGGUUCACCUUCACCCCGCAGCCCCACGGGCCCUAUCUCCCGGGCCCCCCCACACACACAUCUGGUAUCUGCUCCAUUUACCAGUGUUUCGUCUUACACCCCCACACACACAUACAAACACGGCAAACACCAGGAUUCUGGUCUGGAUCCAGAUGUGGAUCUAGGGAUGUAAGAUCGUACCUGUGUCUGGAUCUCGAAGUGGGUCAUGCCCGUGAUGCGCCAGCUUUCGAGGGCAGCCCCCCUGGAGCCCCUGGCAUCCUUGGCAACCGACCGGCUUGUGUGCACCCUUCUGUUCCCCUUUUACCGUCCAGACUAUUGAUCUGCAGGGGGCUGAUAUUCGAAAAAUGUUGAAGGCGGUGAUGUACAAGUGAGUUGCGUGAAACUGAUUUUUUUUCAAGUACAACACGGAAAUGUUUUUUACUUAAAAGUAUAUGUCGUUUUGUUAUAAAAAAAUCGGUGGAGGGUUUCUUGCACGAGAUUGGGAAGAGCCGACCUGGGUCACCUCCGAUUCCUGUCCCUGGAUCUGGGAUUUUUGGAUCCGAGCCAGGAUCAGAAUCUGGAUUUGAGCUGGGCUCACAGUCGCGAGUUUUUAAAUGGGAGGCAUGUUCUGGACACCUACACAAGUAAGGCAACCAUCCCACACGACAACGCCCCAUCCCUACUCCGAAACUCCGUACUCCUCUUCCCACGACUGCCGUACCAUUCCAACCUUCUGCAAUCCACGGCGUACCACCGCUCGCCGUCGUAAUACUCUCACCCCUAUUUGUCGUACAUGCCGUACAUCCAGGUCCAACGGCGUCAACCCCGUGGAUCCCAACCCCGCCUUUGCGGAGCAGCUCAAGGCGGCCGUGGCGGCCAGGGGUGGUACGGCAGCCGUACAGGGGGUGAUUACGUGCUGCGAGGCGGGCGGUACGUUGAAACCGUCAACUAACUUCCCUGAGGGCAAGCCGAGUCGUUCUCUACAGGCCGCUUACCGGGUCAUGACGGAGCGUCUGGCGCCCACUGUGGCCCAUCUGGGUGAGAAAGCGGGCGGUGAAUAUAUGUAUUAUGUAUGUAUGUAUGUAUGUUGCUCUGUAGCUAUGUAUGCAGCUAUGUAGGUAUGUUUAUUGUUCGGAUGCCAGGUCUGCCAAAUGGCGGGAGAGGUGUGCUCGGGGGCCCUAUGUAGCAGGGCAGAAGGCGCGACAUGGCCCGUGGCAAGGGGGUUAUACCUGGCACCGCCGCCUAGAAGGGUGCAAACCUCUAAACCUUUCCCCCCUUUCCCCCCUUUUCCCCCGGUGGGUGUCUAUCUUGUGUGUGUUUUGUGGGGAUGGGGUUUCUCCUACAGAGCGUGGUGUGUUUGGUUGGUACCAGGCGAAUUUACCAAUGGAGGGCGACUACACGCCGGACAUUGGUCGUACCCCAAUGGUGAGUGUACGGCUGUACGGCGUGGGGGCUGCAAUGCUAUGGGGAGUUGUGCGCUUUGGGUGGUUAGCUGAGGUGUCAAAGACCCCUCUUUUCCAUUCGCUUGUGGUAUCUUUUAAAACACAGCGGCCCCCGACUCUCCUACUCACCCCGCUGCGUUAUGGAGGUCUGGAUACCCGCGCCCUGUCGAGCUUAAAUGGCGUUGUGUAUAGUUGUCUUUAUUUUCCCCUCCUUUCCUCUCCUCGUCUGUAUAGUUGUCUUUAUUUUCCCCUCCUUUCCUCUCCUCGUCUGUAUAGUUGUCUUUAUUUUCCCCUCCUUUCCUCUCCUCGUCUGUAUAGUUGUCUUUAUUUUCCCCUCCUUUCCUCUCCUCGUCUGUAUAGUUGUCUUUAUUUUACUCUCCUCCCCUCCUUUCUACCCCCCCUUAACAGCUUGGUAUCCAAUUGAUCGGACAUCCCGGGUACGGAUGAUGUGGAAACGAGAUUGCUGUGUGAGCUCCCUAUAGUGGCAGGGGUUUCGUAACUCCCCCCCCACAGCUCUCCCGCUCCCCGCCCGACCCGGCUGACACUCCCCCCCCCCGGCUACCCGCUACCCGCCCCGUCGUGUUUUGCCUCACCCUCCAGGCUGCAGCUGAGCCGACCCUCCAGCGUCUAAACCAGGAGCGUGGGUACGAGAUGCGGCCCGAGGUGUGUACGACAGCACGGCAGUGUGGCAGCAGUAGUAGCAGAAUUAAGGGUGGCGGAAGGGGUCGGGGUUAGGAGAGGGGACGGGGCAGCCAGCAUCAACCCGCUCCCAGCCCCCCCUGUUGACCUUCUGGCGGAGACUGCCGUUUCCUCCCCUUCCGGUAAAUGCCCCUCCCCGCCCCCCGCCCCGGCCUACUUGGUGUUGCAGGACAAACCCGUGGAGGCGGGCAAGAAGCUGUGGCCCUGGUGAGGGUGAGGGUGAGGUGGUGCGAUACACAGGAGGGGCGAGGGGAGGGGAGGGGAGGGGAGCUGCGGUCUGCGGCGGUCCUUCUAGACAUGAGAGGAGAAGCAGUGCUUGAUGAGGUGGUGCAAUCCGGCAUGAGAGGAGUACGGCACGAUGAGAAGUAGGGUUAAACAAGAGGACCACGGCUUGGGUCGCGGGUGGUUGGUGGGGCUUAGGGUUUGGGAAGGAAAGUCUUCUGACGGCCUUACCAUCUUUUCUGAUUGGAAACGUUGCAGAGGGUUGUGUUUGCGGUUGUAAUAGUGGUUAUGGCAGUUAGUGGUUGUAGUGGUCUUGGCAGGGCCUUAUGAUACAUCUUCAUCUCUCUGAUGCGUAUUAUUGGUGAUGUGUCGAAAUGGCCUUCCAUACCUUACAUACAUCUGGGCGAACCGGACAGACAUGUGCGUUUUGGAGGGGAAUGUCGUCCACUGCAGCUGUGUGUGUUUAAAAAUUGAGCUGAGCACCAGAUGUACUACAUACAGGUUGAAGAAGUCUGUGUGUAUGUAUGUAUGUAUCCAUGUCUGCGUGUAUGUUGAAUGCCUUGAAAGCGAGUGUAUGUAUGUAUGUGUGCAUGUAUCGUUUCUGUUGCGCUCGAGCUUUCCGGGCCUGACGCUGGCCAGGGGCACCUAACCGUGUACCCCAAUGGGAAUGAGCGACUCCCGGGAGGAAGAGGGGCGUGAGCGAGUGUGAGGGGCCACAGUCCCCUAGUACUGCUCGACCGAGGGCGCGCGACCCACCCGGUGUCUCUCUACCUCGCUCCUGUAAUCCACCGCAAUGAUGAUGAUGAUGAAAGAACGCCCGGUAGGCCCUCUCACGACCAACCUCAGCACGCGCUGCGGCACAGCUCCGCCCCCCAGGCAGCCUUCGCACCAUUUGUACCCGGGGUGCGGCUUGGCCCACCCUGGGUGGGUCCCGGGUGCAUCACCCGGGCGGUAUGUAUGUCUGUGUAUGUGCUCUGAGGGGGAGGUGUGGCCCCAAAAGUGGCCGUACUGCUUGUUAGGAGCUGCGUGUCGCGACAGAGUCUUCCCGUUCGCGGAUUCGCCUGCUGUUAGUCCCGCUGGCCCUCGCAGUGCUCCGGUGCCCCCGGUGCUCCUGGUGCGUGUGUUCCCUUUUCUUUGGUUGGCUACUUCUCCCCGGGACCAGCCAGCCCCCCGGGGGAGGGAGGGGCGGAGGAGGUCAGUUAUCGUACGGUGUCUGCCAGGCGGGGAGGUCUUGCGGUUUCUUAGCACUCUGCGCCUUUCAUUAUUUUGUUGGAUUCGACAGGAGACCUCCCCGUCCGGGAUACCCCCAGCCGUAUUUUUCCCGUUGGGUUCUCUUUUGAGUUGGGGGGAAGAGUCAUUGGGCUUUCAGAAAGAGUCAUUGCCCUAACUGAGUCCCCAAGUGGAGGUGGGGCUCAGGCGGGACUUGAGAGCCGGUCAUGGUGUUUUAACUGCUGUGCUAUUCCGCGUCCCUGAGGGAUGGAGGUGCUGCCGGGCGGCUGGGCGGCAUAAAUGCGGUUAAGGCAGGGCCUGAGUCAGGAGGGGUCGGGGGCACGUAAGACGAGCAGCCGCGCCUUGUGCUGUGUGCUGCCGACCCUUGCGCUGUGUUUCGGCUUCGGCCCCAACCCCCCUGGCUUUCGCGGGACACAGUGUAAUCGAAAUCAUACAUUCAUGCAUGCAUACGUAGAGACAGGCAGGUGGCUGGCAGAGAGGUUAAGGCCUGACUUCUGCUCCCGGAGUGUCCCUUCAAGUUCAGCUUCCUACAUACGCGGGACGUCCCUUUGCACAUUUGCUGCGGCAAACGAGCAUCCCAACUGCUCACUCUUAACGAACCAUAACGGUGAAACUACCAACGAACACCAGCUGACCAUUUCUCCACCCUUCCCACCUGGAAGAAACAUCAACACAAGUGUGCGAUGCACGUAGAGAGACGUAUUUGGAUGCACAUACACACAGGCACAUACAUACAUUCAUACAAGUGUACUUGCGCCUGCGCCGCCACGACAACUACGGCGUCCGUAAUAGCAGGCGCCUGUCACGUGUACAUAAUCUAUUGUCUAUAACUGCAUAAGUAACCAAAACGCGGUUUGAAGGUUGGGGGCUUUGUUGGGGGCUAAUGUUUUAUCCGUACGUAUGUAUGUGUUGUUUGAGUGCAAGUUCACAGAACUCCCAGCCGCUCCUCCCAUCGCCGCUCCCACAAAAAGAAAGCGCAUAUCGCGUUGAGCAUUACGUGGGGUUCAGGAGAGCCUCCGCCCUCCCUCCCUCCCUCUUCCCCCCCCCUUCCCCCCUUCCCUCGUCCCGCCCCCCUCUUUCCCCUCCCGCCCCUCCCUCAAGGAAUCGCGAACACAAGGCCCCUCCUCUCUAAGCCACCGUCGUAUCUGUGAAUGUAAUGGAGUACGGCGGACAUAGGAUAGAAUACGGCACUCUGGGGCCUGGGGAGGGCUUGGAGUUGGGGGAGCCGCGGACGUGAAAUAACCCAUCUCCUUUCGCUGUGUCACGGGCGCGGGGGGGGGGGAGAGGGGCUGGAGACGAGCUCGGAGCUCCGUAACUUGGCGCCGCCGCCGCCGCACACCUACGUGUGAUCCCCUCGGCAGGCAACUGCACAACGAACACGCGGCAUUGUCCAGCACAGCGCAAUCUAGAACGGCACGGUGGCUCAGGGGGUCCCUAUCCGUAGUCACCUUGUGCUCCGGUGUCGCCGCUUCCGCCACUGUCACGACAAUCCCCCUAACCCUAACUGGGGCAAGACCGCGCAAUAAACACAGGCACACAGACAUACACGGAGACAGCACAGAGAACACGUAGCCCAGACCUUCCAGAACUCUGUCCUUUCUACGAAGGGAGGGGGUGUCUGUCUUCCCUUCCCCCUUCCUUACCCCGCUUUCCCCUCCCCCCUUCCCCCUUCCNNNNNNNNNNNNNNNNNNNNNNNNNNNNNNNNNNNNNNNNNNNNNNNNNNNNNNNNNNNNNNNNNNNNNNNNNNNNNNNNNNNNNNNNNNNNNNNNNNNNNNNNNNNNNNNNNNNNNNNUGACGUGGAGCGACGGAUGGGUGGAGGGGAAGGUGGAACCAGAGCAUGUGCAAACACACACAUAUACGCACACACGCACACAUAUAUAUAUGUAUAUAUAGGGCAGCAAAUCGCACUUCUUGAGCAGCAUUCAGCAAUGUCCUCCCCCGUCAACAACAUCGUUCACUCUUUCGCUUUUCCCCGCUCGCGGACGCCAAUCAUCUCACCAACCGCACCAACCGCUUCCGCCCGUGGCACCGGGCCGGGGCCGGGGCCGGGGGCGGGGGGGAAGGGAGCGGAGGGAGCGGAGGGAGAAGACGCCCCCGUUUAACCUCUACCCAAAACGUGCAUAUCCCCCCUUCCCCCCGGCAGGGGAAAAGGAUGUCGGCAAACAGAGAAACCGUGCUCGCGUCACUCACUCAUUGAUUGAUGCAGCAGCAGCAGCAGCAGCAGCAGCACACACCAGAAGAUAAUGCCCGGGGGGGCUCUAUUCAUUAUUGUAGGACAGGAUUGGACCCUUCCCCCUCCCCGUGCAGGCAAGUCGCCAUGUGACCAAUUAACGACCAACUGAACGGGGUACGGAAGUAACGACCAACAGAGCAUCAUCCAUAUGCUUAUCAUGUUUAAGGGCCGGAUGCAGGAGAGGGACCGGACAGCGAUUGGAUGCGUUUUGGAAAGCAUUGAACCAGUGGAUGAAUAAAUGGAUGCACGAGUGGAAAAGUCAGUUUGUCGAUUAGUUGAUCCUGUCCGUUCCGGUGCACAUUAGGACAUAUGGGUUGGUAUUUUCCAUGUAACGCCACCAUCACCACCAACACCACCAACCACCACCAUCAUCAUCAACAUCAUCACCAUCAUCAUUACCAUCACCAUCACCAUCUUCAUCACCAAACAUCUAAGAUUUUUGGAAACACAAAUGCUUCGGGUUGCAGCAAUAACAGCAGUAGCAGCAGAAGAACACUCAGGCUGCACAUGAGACGCGCAGGAUCAUCACAUCACCAUUAGCACCACCAUAACCAUCCUUGUCAUCAUCAUCACCAUCACCACCAUCACCACCACCAUCGCCACCAUGUCACCAUCGCCAUCACCACCACCGUCACCACCGCCAUGUGAGGUGAGAUACGGCGGCGUGUGUCGCGUUCCCCCCCCAGGUGCAUCGUGGCACGUAAUAUGCCGUACACCGCCUAGUUCCCGCGUGGUGCGCAUGAUAUGCUAUGAAUGCGCCGAGACACGGUGCAGAAAAGAAAGGGCCAGACAGGUGCCGCACAAUUGCCGUACAUGUGUCGAAGGAGGAGUUUAUUUGCAUGGCUAUGCAUGUCCAGGGGCCCCGGACAACCUGCGUCUGCGUGGCCGGCUGAAUGUAUUCGGAUGGAUGAACAGACAGACAGACAGACAGACAUGCAGAACGACAGACAGACAGACAUGCAGAACGACAGACAGACAGACAUGCAAAACGACAGACAGACAGACAGGGAUGUGUUGCACAGACACAUAACACACACGGGCGCGCGCACGCACGUAUUCGACGCACUCACUCAUUCACUUUGCUUGCCCCGCCAGGACAUUUGAGCUUCAUCCUCAGGGUGGCACGGGCUUAGCUGUACGACACAUACACACGUAGCCAUCACGCGAGCACGCACAGCACGCGUAGCAUCUUACCACCGUGGGCCGCCAGCCGGCGGACGCGCUCCCCAGGUUGAACCCGGCGUGUGUGUAUGUGUCAUGCGUGUUCACACAGGUAUGUGUCUCAUGUACAUCUCACCAACCACCUAACCACCCGCCGUACCAACCAACCAACAACCUCAGCCAGGGUCAAGCCUCCGCAAUAACAAAAUAUUAUAAACACAGCAAAGGCGCACGCUGCACGUAGCCAGUACGGACACGUCGUACAUGCCGUCCAAUCGUACGGCGGUCGUACACAAUGCCACUUCGAAUUUCAGGGAAAUUGUCGGCACAAGACGCAUUAUUGAAGUUCUUCGCCUCUGGUAUGGUGGUUGGAUGGGAACGGGGCCCCCCGGGGACAUCCAUUCAUCCGCCCGUCAUCGAAGGUGUACACGGCUCCCCCCUGCGUUCACUCAAUGGCGGCACACUCACCAACAAAAAAACUAAUAAGGGCCCCGUAAUGAUGUGGGGCCACCGUUGGACCUUCACUAGCGCCAAAACAAAGCACAAAUGGCAAAUUGGUGCAUGAGAAAUAGUGUUUAGGAUUGGCUUCUUUCAGCAACACACAUUCAGCAACACAAAUAUCUUUGAUUAUUUAUGGACACACUGGCCGUUAGCCGUUUACCCCAUCAACCCCUGAUUCUUUUCGUUCAAAAGCUUGCAGCCAAUCCAGACUAUUCAGUUAGAGGGUUAAUACGGUUAGUUAGUAGUUAGUCGUUUACUCGCUUCGUUAAUAAGGGCGCGACAGGAAAAUUUCGCACGUAGUAGUAGGCGAUCCGAUCUACCCAGCCAUCCCCCUACCUACGGCCCAGUGCAAGUUAGGUAUCCUCAAAAGCCGCCCUCCCCCUUUCCCCCCACCUCCACCUCCACCUCCCCUUCCCCCCACGUCACCAACCCACCCGCCUGCCCAGCCGAGUUAUGUCCUUCUCACCUGGCCCCACCCCGCCCGACGUUACACCCCGGCCCCCUCGUAACGCCCCAGUCUCCCCUUUAUUCUCUCUCUUCUCUCUCUUCUCUCUCUUAUCCCGCCGGCGCUGCAUCGUCAUAUAAGAAACAUGCAUGUCGCCGCAGCCACAACAAGAUAGCUCAACGAUAUUCCAACGGCAGCCCAACACCCGGUAACAAGUCAACCCAGCUAAGCUACCCAAACUAAACAACGCAGCCGCUGCAAACCCCUUCCCUCUUUCAUGCCUAUGUGGUCGUUGCAUCCACGGCCAAGAUACAACGGACAACUGUCAACUAUCCACUGUCAAAGGUCAACGGACAACGGUCAAUCCACACCACACGCGACGGCGGACAUACAAGGCCGCGGCACCGACGGCGGCGGCGGCGGCGGCGGCUUCUAGUACACACAACAAACCCCCUUCCUUGUAACGGAAAGGAAUCUAAUUCCUCCGAAUGAAGCACUAUCAUCAUUUGUCUGACGCGGGUUCCUGGGGCUUGAACUUCUUAACCAGGGAGGACAGAAGCCGCCCGCCCAGGAAGGCCUUAGCCCGAGGCCACUUGCUGCGGCUGCUGCUGCUGCUACUGCCGCUAUGGUUACUGCUCCGGACGCCGCGUGCACCGCCGCCGCCGCCGCCGGCGUUGUCACUGACGGGCGGAUCAAUCCCGUACGCCGACUCUGCCGCGGCCGGCUCGGAGAGCCGCCCGCCACGCGCCGUCGCCGCCGCCGCCGCCGUUGCCGCUGUCGCACUAAUCGGAGUGAGCUGCUCCGGCGGCCGACUGUUGUUGCUGUUGUUGUUGCUGGCCGGCAUCACGCCCGCGGAUGAAGCAGCGGGGGAGGCGACGGCAGAGGUGGCGAGUUGGAGAGUACGGCGGGAGCGGCCCGACGGCAUAUGGGGGGAGCCUGAUGGGCCUGGCGAAUGAUGAGUCAACGAAGGGGAGGAUGGCCUAGGUUGGGCGCCCAGCGCGUUCUGGAAGGGCAGCGGCGGCGGCGUUGUCGCCGCUGCCGCGGCGGCAGCUUCGAUGACCCGUGGGUCAACCCCACUGCCGCUGCGCGGCAUUCGGGGCUGGCUGCUCGGCGGCGGCCAGGGUCCAGCACGAACCCCAAGAGGAGUAUCCAUCGGGACCUGCGAGCCCGUGGCGGCGGGGGCGGCGUUGGCGGCGCCGCCGCCGCCGCUGCGUAUCCCAGCGGCGGUGGUAGCGGCGGGCCAGUCCGUGCUGCCGUCGGCUCCCAACAUCUGAAUGGCAUCGUCGCCGCCGCCACCGCCGCCAGGUUCCGUACUGCAAUCGGCGUAACUCCCAUGCCAAUUGCCGUACGUCGCAUGCAGUACUUCGCGAUCCUCUGGCAGGGAGUCGAUCAGCCCGGAAGCCCAACGGCCCAACCGUCCGCGCAUCGCUGGUGGCGGAAUCGCCGCCGCCGCCACCGCCGCCGCCGCCGGCUGUAACUGCUGAUGUGCUGCGUGGAUCGCCAUGCCGGCGGGGCUGUAGCCAGAUGCAACCCAUCCCGUCGAGCCCAGAGGAUCCAAAUCCGCGGAUUGCAGCUCCGGAUCCGUGUAACGUCCCGUGUUGACGUGGCCUUCCCGCGCCAUGUUGCCGCUGGCAAGGCGGCUACGUGCCGUUGCCGGCGUAAGCGAAGUCUGAAGCUGGAAGCCGCGCGCGCCCGACGGCGGCGUGGCGUAACCAGUCCCAAUGCUCGUACCCGGGCUGCUGCUGGCGGCACUGCCGCCGCCUGACGUCAGCGAGUGCUGGGCGCGGCUGGCGGCGGCGGCGGCAGAGCCGCCACCGUUACCUGGAAUCGGGACGGGUCCGACGACGGAGGAGAUGGUGCUUGGCGUGUUCUCUUGUGCGCGUUGCAUUCUAUUGCAGUGGUGAUGAUGGUGGUGGGGGUAGGAGGUGGGGGCGCUGGAGCCGAGAACUAGGCCGGAGGUGUCGCAGCUAGCUGCGCCAGCGGCGGCGGCGACCUGAUAGGUGUGGCAGCUCGCCGAGGACGCGACGCCGGGGUGUACGGCGGAAGCUGCUGCGGCGGCGUCGGCGCCACCGCCGCCGAUAGACGACGCACUGGCGGCUACCGCGGUGGUGGCGCUCUGAUCGUAGCGGCGGUGGUGACGGCGCAGCGCGACGGCGGCGGCGGCGGCGGCAGAGCCGCCGCCACCGCUGGCCGCGAUGGCGUCGGUGUUGGUGGCGGCGUCAGAAGGUGGCCCUGAUUCUCGUUCAGAGAAUAACAGCUCGACGGAGCGGUUUAUGUUAAUGGGGCUGUACGCGACGGAGAGGUCUGUGGUGGAUUGAAGCGCUUCGCCGAGUACGGCCGCCAUAGCCGCCGCGGGGGGAAUGCCCUCGGCGGCGGCGCGCGCCGCCGCCGUACGGCAUGGUGUGAAGCCGCUCAUGACAGCUCGCCGCCGCGGCGGCGUGCCCGCCGGCACAUCCGGCGCACCGCCGGGGGUGCCGAUCUCCGGCAAUGCGUCGUACAUGAGCUGGUUGAAUACGACCGACCCUUGACGGGAGAGCGCUGCGCGGCGGCUGCCGCCCAUGGCAGUGGCGGACGCGGCAUUGUACGGCGUUCCUCCCACGACGUAACCGCCAGUGGGCACCGAUGUACGACCAUAGUUGGUGGCGGCGGCGUAGGGUAUGCUUGAUGACGGGGUGAGGCCCGUGCCGGUGGUCGUCGUCAUGGCGUGCGUGAUGUGAUGUGUACGGCGACUCGGCAGACCAGCGUGACCGAUUGCUGGGUGCGGUAGCGUUACGCCGCCGCUGCUGCUGAUGGCGCCGUUUCCGGGACUGCGGUACAGCCCGACUUCCGUCGCAAUGGCGCAGGACACGCCGGCUGUGCGCGGGCGCAUUCCGCCCAGCACCGUCGCCGGCUUUGCCAUCGUCGCUGUCGCCUCCUGCGGCGGUGCCGCCGCCGUCGCCUGCGGCGGCGGCGGUGCCGGCGGCACCGUCAAAUAGCUGCCCACAGUCGCACGCAUGGUGUGCCUUGAAGGUGGUGCAUGCUGCGCGCCGGCGGCGUCACCGCCACCACCGCCUCCCGUGGUCCCGCCGCCGCUACUGGCGCUGGUAAGGUCUGCCGUACGCAUUACCAUUGCCGCCACACGCCGAUUCAUGGGCGUGGCCCCCGUCAGCGAACCGCCGCCGGCACCGCCGCUACCUUGACGGCCGCCGUACAGUCCGUGAUGCACACCCUGCACACCCGCAUGGGGCCCGUCUACCGGCAAUCGUCGCAACGACGCUGAGGAGCCGACUCCGACGCCAGAAGAGGUGGCGCCGGCGGCGGCUCCGCUGCCAGCGGCGGCGGCAGCGGUAGCAUUACUGGCGGCGAGCGUACUCGACGAUAUUAUGUCCCGCCGACUUGCGCCGGCAGCGGCGACGGCGUCGCCGCCGCCACCGCUCGCAGCGACUGUCAGGCCGCUGCCAACGGUCUUUGCGGCGAAGUACUCCAUGAGUUCAUCAUCAUCGCUGAUAUGGCCGUCUCCGUCGGAGAAGAUGUCUUCGGGACCGUCAGGCAGCAGGCCAAGCCCGACCGUACUCACUCCCCCGACGCCGUCGGCGGCGCCAAAACCGGCCCGUGGGUCGAUCGCCGGGUCCCCGGACAGCAGGACGUCCACGCUGGCGGCGCCGUCCCGCUGCGGGCUGAUCAGCUCAGUCUUUGACGGUGCUCUGUCACCGACGGCCGCUGCCGCCGCCACCGCAGCAACAGCAGCAGCGUCGGCAGCGCCGCCGCGGGCGGCAGGGUCGCCGCCAGGCACGGACAUUGUACCGUCCUUGCCACCGCCGCCGGCCGCGAGCUGCAGGCGUUUCGCCGCUCCAGGUUGACCUAGGGAUCCGUCCGUCCCGCCGUCACAAGUGCUUGACCUGCCGCGCACCAGCACCGCGACGCCCGCUUCCAUGUCCACCGCUGCCGAUCGACACCCUGGUCCCUCUCCCCCGCGCAUGGCGGCAUCUGCCUGUGUGUGCACGUGCCCGCGCUCAAAGUCCGGCGUACCAGGCUUUUCCUGUGUCGCCUGUACCGGCGGACGUCCAGCCACGCCAGCCGCAGUCGCCGUCGCUGCCGCCGCCGCCGUCAGCAGCGCCGCCGACGGUGUCCUGGAAAGAGGUCUGAGACGGUUGCGACUUGUUUGUUGCGUCAGUGGCGGCAACGUUAGCGGGCUUGUGCCGCUGCGCGUGUUGCUGGACCCCGUCGUCGCCGUCGUCGUCGUCGGCGGCAGCGGCGUCUGCGACGACGGCGGCGCCGUCGGCGGCGAAGGUGAUUGCGUUUGCAUGCUGCUUACGCUCGCAGUGGGGGCCGUCCGGAAAGAACCUGACGGGGCGGGCAGUGACGUCGCUGCACCGCCAGGACGAGGCGUCGGCGCCGCUGCCGCUACCGCUACCGCUGGCGGCGGCGGCGGCGGCGGCACUGCCGGCGGCAGCUGCCCAACGGCGUUGUCGAGCGAUGGCGCAGCCGGCGUUGGCAUCGACGGUACCGACAGCAGCGGCAUCAACUGGAUGCUGCCGUUGCCGCCAGGGGGUGCGGGGGGCUCCCCAAGUAGCGACGCCGCCACGGCGGACAGCAGUACGGAAGCCGCCCGUCGGGAGCUACGGCCGUCACUGCCGUCGCCGCCGAUGGCCAUAAUCCCUCGAUCCUUGCUGAUCAUCGCCUCCUGUACAAGCUCAUCUGAGCUCAUCACCUUCACGGCAACGCCACGAGAUGCCGGCGGCAUCGGCUGCUGCUGCGGCGGCGGCGGCGGAGCCGUGGGUCCCCCCGGCUGCUGCUGCGGCUGCUCUUGCGGUCUAACAGUCCGUCCCGAAGUAGUACGGCAGCGGUAACUGGGCGUGGCGUGCUCGCUGUACAAUUUGUCCAAAGGCGUGCCGGCGAUAAGCUUUGGUACCUCCAAAAAGUACGGCAUCUGCAACAGCUGCGCCGCCGUCGGCCGCUGCCGGGGAUCUAGCCGCAGACACGCCUGAGCGCCAAAAUGGAAGAAGACGAACGCGACGAAAUCAAUAUGAUUGAUUAAAAGGAAACGUAGCUACUCGCAAACAACAGUUGUUUUUGAGGCACAAGCCCGUACACUUUUCCAACACAUACGACAUACAGCCGUACAGACGUACAUACAUAAUACUUGGGAAGUUCCACCACGUCGCUAACCUCCUCGGAGUCUGCUUGCGGUACAUUGUUAUUCUGUUGUUGGAUCAUCAACCCAACCCCCGGCCGUCACUAGAGGCCGUCACGUGCCUCUCGUGUUUCAAAAACCAUUACGACACCUACAAAAGCCUGCAGACAUACAUACACACAUACACACAUGCACGCAGAACAAGACUUAACGUACAGGCAUGUACACAGACAGACAUACCUGCACCACGUCCAGCAAGCGCGCGUCUAACUCUGGCAGGCGCUGCCACAGCGACUUGCCGCGCGGCGGCGGCGGCGGCGGUUCCGGUAGCCCGGCGGCGGUGGCCGCCGCCGCGAACCUCUCCGCCUGACUAUACGGGAGGGGCCCAAGACACCUCAUGAUUCGCCACAACUGAUCCAGGGAGGAGGUUCCUGAAGGGGUGUUGGGGAGGUAUUGGUUGGCGGUGUGUAGAGGGGGUGGGGAGAUGGGGGAGAGAUGCACGCGUGUGUGUACGUGUGCGUGUGCGUGUGCGUGUGCGUGUGCGUGUGUGCGUGUGUGUAUAUGUGUGUGUGUGCCUGGGGGAGAGCAGGGGAGAGCAGGGCCUAGAACAGAAGAGCAGCACAUCUCUGGAUGCAGUAUACAUGGAUGUGUGCGUCAGGUCAGGUCAGGUCAGGUCAGGUCAGGUCAGGUCAGGCGGGCCGAAGGGAGACUUUUCAGGAGGAACAGCAUUCGUCUGAAGGGGCAUACCACUACCACUGCUGCUACUGCUACCACUGCUGCUACAUGUAACCACUGCUGCUACAUGUAACCACUGCUGCUACAUGUAGCCACUGCUGCUACUGCAGCCACUGCUGCUACUGCAGCCACUGCUGCUACUGCAGCCACUGCUGCUACUGCAGCCACUGCUGCUACUGCAGCCACUGCUGCUACUGCAGCCACUGCUGCUACUGCAGCCACUGCUGCUACUGCAGCCACUGCUGCUACUGCAGCCACUGCUGCUACUGCAGCCACUGCUGCUACUGCAGCCACUGCUGCUACUGCAGCCACUGCUGCUACUGCUGCCACUGCUGCUACUGCAGCCACUGCUGCUACUGUUACCAUUACUGCCACUGUUAUCAUUACUGGUACUGCUAUUACUGCUGCUACUGCUACCACUCACCCGGGAACAGCGGCCGACCGGUAGCAAUUUCCGCGAAAGUACAGCCCAACGACCAAAUCUGUUGAGAAAAGAGAGGAGUUGGCAGUUGGAAGUUAUAAACGGUACAGACUAGCAAAUGCCAAAUAGGGGACGACAAUAAAGAACUCGCUUAGGAGGACCACAAUGCAUACACAUAUACAUACAUUCAGGCUAGUGGCUGGCAGAGGUUAAGGCCUGACUUCUGCUCCCGAAGGUUCCGGGUUCUAUUCCAGCUGCCGACCCCUCAGUGGGUGAGAUGUGCUGAAUUGGGAAGUGGCCCCCCAUCUUGUGGACGGUAUAGGACGUGAUUAUAUCAACUUGUGAGCUGACCAGGAACUAAGUUGAGGCGCCGUUGAUCCGCUAGAAUUGGUUGGAUGCUGGUGGUGAGUUGCCGAACCCGACGAAUACACUCUGAAGUCGGAUGGGGUGAAUGGAUUAGGGUGCCCCUCUCGCAGGGGAGAGCAGGGAACUGCCUCCAAGGGAAAGGGGGCCGCUGGUGAAGCUAUACCACCCUGUAACAUUAUACAUUCAUACACAUCUCGGCUUUUGAAACCAGCCCUAGAAACCGCUUCUUGUUUCUUUGCCUGUCGUACAUUUUUAUGAACUCG
rnacentral:lncRNA from 1 species